GCCCCGAUGGUGAAAUCGGUAGACACAAGGGAUUUAAAAUCCCUCGCCUUAACGGGCGUGCCAGUUCGAUUCUGGCUCGGGGCA
rnacentral:tRNA from 1 species